rnacentral:tRNA from 1 species
GCGGGUGCGCCGACGUGGGAGAGUCGGGCCUGGCUGUAACCCAGGUGCAGCGCGCUCAGGGGGUUCGAAUCCCUUCACCCGCA